rnacentral:lncRNA from 1 species
GAGUGCAGGAAUGUGGGAGUGAGUGGGGUUGGCAUGAGGAGCGCCUAGGGAUGGGUGGAGCAGGCACUUGCUGUCCUAGGACAGUGGUCUCCAAACAUUACCGCAUGUUUCCUAAACCAUCUGAAAACUCUGUGUCACACAUACAUUGUCAAGUUGAUACCCAGGAUUUUCCAAGGUUAUAUUCACAAAGGAUGUAAUUUCCAGUGUAUUUCAAAUAUUGAUAUUGUAAAAAUAACAGUAGUGUCCCUUUGAAACGGGAUGUAAACUCCAGAGCGGGUUCAGGCACAUUUCCGCCUACCAAGUUUACCGUCCCCAGCACACUCCCUGCUUUGCCACCUCCCGUUGUUCUCUUUCUUCUUGACCCCUUCCCACCCACUCACACUCUGACCCUAAUCUGCUUAGGCCGAGACUUGUGACUGCCUACCAUGUUUAUUUGUACCAAAAAUAGGUAUAUAGAGGAAAAUUUAACAUUUGAAUGUCCUUGUAGCCAUUGAACUUAAAAUUUCUGUUUAUUAAGCUUCCAUUACUACUAAGUUGAUCAUCCAGAUCAUAUACAAAUUACACAUAAUUUUGUUGAAAGCAAAAUUUUAUUGAAAAGUCAUCUAAUGGAUAAGAUUUCUAAAAAAAUAAUUAUGAAUUGAUAGAUGAAUAGGAUUUACUGUUUAGAAUGAGACAAUAUUUAGCAUCAGUUUUUAACUUCACAUUUUAAGGGUUAUAAGCACUGAGAAAUUGUAUUGAUAUAAAUAAUGUGAUGGGAAUGGGAAGGGCUAUUUUGAACUUCUAACUUUGGUGAAUAAUAAUUUUGAGAAGAGACUCACAUAAGAGGGAUCCCAGCAGUUUGGGAGGCCAGAACAGAGGGAUUACAAGUUCAGAACCAGCCUUGGCAACUUCUCAAGACCCUGUCUCAAAAAAUUUUUAGAGAGGUUGGGCACUGUGGUGCACUCCUGUAAUCCCAGCAGCUUGGGAGGCUGAAGCAGGAGGAUCAUGGGUUCAGGUCAGCCUCAGCAACUUAGUGAGGCCCUUAGCAACGCAAGCAAGACCCUGUCUCUAAAUAAAACAUAAAAAGAGACUGAAGAUUUGGCUCAGCAGUUAAGCACCCCCUGGGCUCAAUCCUCAGUACCAAAAAAAAAGACAACCCAAAAUGUAGCUCACAGAUAGAGCACUUUUAGGUUCAUCUCCCACCCACCCACAUACCCACACAUAGGAGCAAGAGAGAACGGGGCAGAGUAGAGCUGUCUUGGCACCUUUGCGCAGUUGCUUCAAGGACCAAUAGCUUGGGCUAUAAGUUCAGUGUGACAGGAAAAAGCCCCGUGCCCUCUGUUGCUCCAAGUGUAGCAUAGAUGGCAGUGUUCAUGAGUGCUAUGCCCAUUUUUCAUGUCACCUCUGUAGCACUGUUUCUGUAGUUGAGUCAGAAAUAGUGGAUGAAGUAGGUGAGACGUAAGAGCCGUAAGUGUUGGACAGAAGCCCGUCAUGCCAGAUGAGGAGACUGCGGGGACUGAAGCUGUGAGGGCAGACCCCUUUGGCACCCGUGCUCCUCUUGCUCCUAAGCACAUGCACCAUUAGUGAGAUGGGGCAAGUGUCCCAUUUUCUCCUUUGUUCUCAUGGUAGCUGGCAUCCCUUCUCCCCCACUUGGCAUUGUGGAGUACACAAAGUGUGUGUGUGUGGUAGGAAGGAAAGUGGAUUUGUUGACACAGCUCUGGGCACUUUUAACAGAAUGGAUUGGAACCAUCUUCUAAAAGAACUCUUAAGAUUUAAGAAUGGUGGAUUGAAAUUUUUCACUGAGUGAGCAUAGCACCAGUUUGAAUUUGUCAUCUAUCUGGACAUGUUUGGCAAGGGAGAGAAAGAGGCAUGCUCAUGCAGAGCUGUGGU